rnacentral:rRNA from 1 species
GACGAACGCUGGCGGCGUGCUUAACACAUGCAAGUCGAACGGAAAGGCCCUGCGUUUGUGGGGUGCUCGAGUGGCGAACGGGUGAGUAACACGUGAGUAACCUGCCCUUGACUUUGGGAUAACUUCAGGAAACUGGGGCUAAUACCGGAUAGGAGCUCCUGCUGCAUGGUGGGGGUUGGAAAGUUUCGGCGGUUGGGGAUGGACUCGCGGCUUAUCAGCUUGUUGGUGGGGUAGUGGCUUACCAAGGCUUUGACGGGUAGCCGGCCUGUGAGGGUGACCGGCCACAUUGGGACUGCGAUACGGCGCAGACUCCUACGGGAGGCAGCAGUGGGGAAUAUUGCACAAUGGGCGGACGCCUGAUGCAGCAACGCCGCGUGCGGGAUGACGGCCUUCGGGUUGUAAACCGCUUUCGCCUGUGACGAAGCGUGAGUGACGGUAAUGGGUAAAGAAGCACCGGCUAACUACGUG